ACUCAAAUGAAUUGACGGGGACCCGCACAAGCAGCGGAGCGUGUGGUUUAAUUCGAUGCGACGCGAAGAACCUUACCUGGGUUCAAUCUAGUUUGCACCACCCGUAAUGGGGUGUACCCGCAAGGGACGGACUAGACGGUGCUGCAUGGCUGUCGUCAGCUCGUGCCGUGAGGUGUUGGGUUAAGUCCCCUAACGAGCGCAACCCCCGAUGUCGGUUACCAAUCCGGCGUGACUGCCGCGCAGAACGCGGAGGAAGGUGGGGAUGACGUCAAGUCAGCACGGCCCUUACGCCCAGGGCUACACACACGCUACAAUGGCCGGUACAAUGAGUUGCAAGCCCGCGAGGGGGAGCUAAUCUAAAAAGCCGGUCUCAGUUCGGAUAGUAGGCUGCAACCCGCCUACUUGAAGUCGGAGUUGCUAGUAAACGCAGGUCAGCACACUGCGUUGAAUACGUUCCCGGGUCUUGUACACACCGCCCGU
rnacentral:rRNA from 1 species